AAUGAACGUUAGCGGCGCGCCUGAUGCAUGCAAGUCGAACGGUCUAUUGUUUCGUAAGAAGUAAUAGAUAGUGGCGAACGGCUGAGUAACGCGUAAGUUACCUACCUCUAAGUGGGGAAUAACCUGUCGAAAGGCAAGUUAAUACCGCAUGUGCUAACUUGUGAAAACUUGUUAGUAAAGCCUUCGGGUGCUUGGAGACGGGCUUGCGUCUGAUUAGCUAGUUGGUUGGGGUAAUGGCCUACCAAGGCGAUGAUCAGUAGCUGGUCUGAGAGGACGACAGCCAGACAGGGACUGAGACACGGCCCUGACUCCUACGGGAGGCAGCAGCAAGGAAUUUUGCGCAAUGGGCGAAAGCCUGACGCAGCGACGCCGCGUGAGGGAUGAAGGCCUUCGGGUUGUAAACCUCUUUUCUUGAGGAAGAAUUAUGACGGUACUCAGGGAAUAAGUCUUGGCUAACUACGUGCCAGCCGCCGCCGUAAAAC
rnacentral:rRNA from 1 species